GUGUGUGUCCCCUCCCCUUCGCUUCCACAGACACUGUCCUCGCAGCCCCUUGUGGCCACAACGUCUCGAGGUUUCCCACCUGCCACAGAACAUGCUUCUUAGUACCCCUUGGAAACUGACUGAAUUUAACGAAUUAAAUUUUCACAACUGUACAAGUUCUACUUCUUCCCGUACUGUGAGUUUUGGUGAGUGUUCUCUAUUCAGCUUUUGUGCCACUUUGUGCCUCUGUAAACUUCGUCUGUGCCUCUCUGUUCCCUUAUGCAACCCCACUCCCAGCUUCUCUGGACCUGCCCUAACUCCCCUAAGCCCAUCCUGUGAUGUGGUGACUGCACCUUAGUGCAGCACUCAAGAUACAAGUGCACCAGCAGUUUACUUCACAGCAAAACAACCAUCUCUGUCUUGUCCUGGCAAUGCACAGCAUUUUAUUGCUUCUCCAACUGCCCCAGAACAGAGCCUGUGUCUCCAGAUACAGUCACAAACACCUUGACAUCUGUCCUGCAGUGCAACUGUCAGAUUCCAGUUCAGCCCUUGGCAGAUCACGUUCAGGCCACUUCAGACUAUAUGAUGGGACCUUUUUACGAUAAUGUCCUGCUGCCAGUCUGUCCUCCCAUCCUGGCAGAUCCCUUAGCACAGCAGCCAUCACCUGCCAGCAGAGGAGGUGACUAAUUACUCUUCUGGUUAUUGGUAGUGGCUGGAGUGAAGGCAGGUGUCCAGGAUCUCACUCAUGCACAAGUGUCAGCGGUCCUCAGGGCUGGUGGGGGCAGAGCUGAUUCAGGAAAGGGAGAAAAGUAAACAGCAGGACAAUUUGGAAAUACAGAAAACUCCACAUUCAGAACAAAGGCUUUUAUUCAAGAGUUUGACCAAAUACAGCCUGUAAAAGCUCUUUGCUUUUACAGAAGAGAAAAAAAAAAAAGGCAAAGAAAUACUGUAGUUACAUUUAGGAAAACACAUUUUUGGGACAACAGUUACACUGUAAGGUCUCAGACACAGCACCUGAAUAUGUGCCCUGAGAGGUCCAAAUUUGUCUCUAAGAUGCAGAAAUACAUUUCCUCAAUCUGUCAGUUUGGUGGCAGCUGUAAGACUGUUUCACCCUUCGUCUCUACAGGAGCAACAGCAAUAACACUAUAGACUUUAUAUGGUGAAAAGCUUAUAAACUGCAUCUCAGCACUGUGGGAAAACAUUCUCCUCAACACUUCACGUGAGUCCACAAAGGACUGGAGAUCUGAAAAUGCAUCUUAAAAUUUACUUAGGUUGAGAGAAGGAAAACAAAAGAACCAUUGUUUCAAUGUCCAGUUCACAUAGAGGGGGCAGAAGUUGUGUGCUAAGUUAGAAAAUGGGGAAACCAUAGGGAGCUUAGGACGAGGACCCUGGAGAUAGUGCAAGUGCUUAGCAGUGAGGCUGUUGCAUACACCUUUUCAUCUGUGUGAAAAAGGCAUAUUGUGUGUGUGGCUCUACGCAGAUAUUUACUAUAUGUAAUGUGCUAGGUAGAAAAGUUAUGCAGUAUUAACAUUUUAAUAAUAUAGUAAAUGUAGUUUUUAACAUUGAAUCUAAGUAAAAAUUGUGUGUAAGGUAUUUUCCUUAGCUCAAGAGAAAAGAGAAGAUAACCCGGAGGUUUCUGCACAGAGAGAACAAUUACAACAAG